GAUGAAGAACGUAGCGAAAUGCGAUACGUAAUGUGAAUUGCAGAAUUCAGUGAAUCAUCGAGUCUUUGAACGCACAUUGCGCCCUCUGGUAUUCCGGAGGGCAUGCCUGUCCGAGCGUCAUUGCUGCCCUCAAGCACGGCUUGUGUGUUGGGCUCCGUCCCCCGAUCCCGGGGGACGGGCCCGAAAGGCAGCGGCGGCACCGCGUCCGGUCCUCGAGCGUAUGGGGCUUUGUCACCCGCUCUGUAGGCCCGGCCGGCGCUUGCCGAUCAACCAAAUUUUUAUCCAGGUUGACCUCGGAUCAGGUAGGGAUACCCGCUGAACUUAAGCAUAUCAAUAACGGAGGA
rnacentral:misc_RNA from 1 species